CAGCAGCCACGGGAAUACGUAGGUGGCAAGCGUUGUCCGGAAUUAUUGGGCGUAAAGCGCGCGCAGGCGGCCUAUCCAGUCUGUCUUAAAAGUUCGGGGCUCAACCCCGUGAUGGGAUGGAAACUAGUAGGCUAGAGUAUCGGAGAGGAAAGCGGAAUUCCUAGUGUAGCGGUGAAAUGCGUAGAUAUUAGGAAGAACACCAGUGGCGAAGGCGGCUUUCUGGACGAAAACUGACGCUGAGGCGCGAAAGCCAGGGGGGCGAACGGGAUUAGAGACCCGCGUAGUCCCUGUCUCUUAUACC
rnacentral:rRNA from 1 species